rnacentral:misc_RNA from 1 species
AAAAUAAAAUAAAAUAAAUUAAAAUAAAAUAUGCAGAAUGUAUAUUUACAUUUCUGGGUAAACUUAGUUUCUAAUAUUUAUUGCAGUGUUAUUCGAUUUAAGUUUGGUAAGAUUUAUUAAAAUUGCCCGAGUAACCUAAUUUAAUCAACUGGACUGGACAAACGGGUAAACUGGCACUGGGUACUAAGUACCUCGGACCAUCACACCAUCGGUCACAUUGUGUCUCCCGGUGUGCAAUAGAACA